GAUGAAGAACGUAGCGAAAUGCGAUAAGUAAUGUGAAUUGCAGAAUUCAGUGAAUCAUCGAAUCUUUGAACGCACAUUGCGCCCGCCAGUAUUCUGGCGGGCAUGCCUGUUCGAGCGUCAUUUCAACCAUCAAGCCCCAGGCUUGUGUUGGGGACCUGCGGCUGCCGCAGGCCCUGAAAACCAGUGGCGGGCUCGCUGUCACACCGGGCGUAGUAGAUUUUAUCUCGCUCUGGGCGUGCUGCGGGUUCCGGCCGUUAAAAAACCCUUUUAACCCAAGGUUGACCUCGAAUCAGGUAGGAAUACCCGCUGAACUUAAGCAUAUCAAUAAGCGGAGGA
rnacentral:misc_RNA from 1 species